rnacentral:rRNA from 1 species
UACGGGGGGGGGCAAGCGUUGUUCGGAAUUACUGGGCGUAAAGGGCUCGUAGGCGGCCAACUAAGUCAGACGUGAAAUCCCUCGGCUUAACCGGGGAACUGCAUCUGAUACUGGAUGGCUUGAGUUCGGGAGAGGGAUGCGGAAUUCCAGGUGUAGUGGUGAAAUGCGUAGAGAUCCGGAGGAACACCAGUGGCGAAGGCGACACGCUGGGCCGUACCUGACGCUAAAGCGCGACAGCAUGGGGAGCAAACGGG